rnacentral:snRNA from 1 species
GGAUGUGAGGGGGAUCUGGCUGUGACAUCUGUCACCCCACUGAUCGCCAGGGUUGAUUCAGCUGAUCUGGCUGGCUAGGCGGGUGUCCCCUUCCUCCCUCACCGUUUCAUGUGCGUCCCAAAGCUGCGCACUCAAAGAGGAUGACCACCCCGUUGGAGGAGGACCAUUCUUCAGUCAAGGGUAUAUGAGUAGCUGCGCUCCCCUGCUAGAACUUCCAAACAAGUACUCAAGGUCCAAACUCUGGAUUUAAUGGACUAAAGUCUUCCAGCAUGAUUUGAAAAGCUCUAUAUUUCAUUAG